UCGCAUUGCAUCAAAUCCCGUUUUUGCAGUGCUGGGUACGCUAACAAGUUGACGAACCCAAUUUUAUCAAGGAUUGGAGAUUGCGACGCCGAAAAAUGUUCCAUUUUCGGGCUGGACAUCUAUCGAUACCCAACCAUUGGCAAAUUCACCAUCAACACUAACUCAGACCCUCCUUUCUGCCUACUUGAAGUUGACCGACAGAAGUCUCUGGCGAAAGCAGUUAGUGAAAGAGAGCAAAGCAAAGCAUCUCAGAUGGAUUCAAAAUCAGUCAACCUUACAGAGACCUCAACAGGAGCACCGAAUGCAACCACCACAGUAAAGUCUAUAUUAUCACCAGUGAGGAAUGUCUUCAGUAAAGUCAAGUCAUUCAUUUAAACCGAUUUAUACUUCCAAAUCCUCGAGAUGAACAUGCAGCCAACUUUCGGUUAAGAUCAUCAAAUUCUGGAAAACAAAUCAAACGUGUUGUUCACAAAUGAAAGCAUCUUUAUUUAAUCAUAUAAUAUCAGGUUGAGUUGGUUUUCCAACCCUAAAGCAAUAUCCAGUUGCUCAUUUAUGUUGUAGAUUUCAAUACUCAAAAUUUGGCAGUUUCAUGCUCAACUUAGUGAAUAGAAUUCGCAGGUGGUCAAUUUUGAGCUCAGCAUCUAUUUAUGCUGGCCAAGUUAUGAUUUUCAUAUUCAAGGGAAAAUUUUGAUUUUACUGCAUUGAAUUACAGUUGAUGUCAGUAUUAGCCUUUUUAGGUUGUGUAAAGUUUUAUUUCUAAUUGAUAGAAACUUAAUUUUUCCAAGCUGUGAGAAUUUCGACAAUCCUUUGUCAUUCAUCUACAGAUACUCAAAACAAUGUUAUUUCAUGUUGCCAUUAAAAUGUAUUUAUGUAUUUAUCAAUUAAUUUAUGAAUGUUUUAGCACAUUUGAUUUAAUAAGGUCAUUCUUGUUAUUUACACUGGGAAAAAUAGGACUGUUACUUUAACAAGAAUAGUCGUGUUAUUCAGUCAUCCCUUUACGUCAACGAACAUUAUCAUUGCUACAACCUGACGUCCUGUUAUAAUAACAGGAAUAUUCCAGUUAAACUGUUUUCCUGUUGCAUCAAGCGGAAAUCUCCUUUGAAUCAACAGGAACAUUAUAUUUGGCAAUUUUCCUGUUGCAUCAACCAGUGAUCCCCUUUGCAUCAACCAGUAAUCUCCUUUGAAUCAACAGGAAUUGUUAUUUGCUCCAAACGGAGCCUCAAAACUUAAAAACGUAACGGGAAAAUGGCCGCGGCGUCUACUGACAUUAUAUUUCAUUUCUUUUUGCUUGGAGUAAGUUUUAUAGAAUUAAAAAAAAUUCGCUCAAUCGGAACAAGCCCGUCAAUUUAAAUAUUCGCGCGAGUUUUUGAAUAUAUGAUCCUCCAACCCAAUACACCCCCCCCCCAAAUACAUGCUUUAAACGGGAUCAGAAUGAAUCUCACUUUUAACUGAGGCGUGUGUGCGCCUUAAUAUUCCUUAUUUCGUCCAUGUAUUACGUCGGCUGCGAUGUCGUAACGGUUAGGGUGUUAGGCUAGGAAUCGGUAGGUCCCAGGUUCGAUCCCCAGGUAGGACCCAACAUUUAAUUCGAGACGCAGUAUGCCAAUACGAUCGGAUAAUCGAAGGUUCACUAGUUCA
rnacentral:lncRNA from 1 species